CCUACGGGUGGCUGCAGUGAGGAAUAUUGGUCAAUGGACGCAAGUCUGAACCAGCCAUGCCGCGUGCAGGAAGACGGCCCUAUGAGUUGUAAACUGCUUUUGUACGAGGGUAAACUCAGAUACGCGUAUCUGUCUGAAAGUAUCGUACGAAUAAGGAUCGGCUAACUCCGUGCCAGCAGCCGCGGUAAUACGGAGGAUUCAAGCGUUAUCCGGAUUUACUGGGUUUAAAGGGUGCGUAGGCGGUCGGAUAAGUUAGAGGUGAAAUCCCGAGGCUCAACUCCGGAAUUGCCUUUGAUACUGGUAGACUAGAGAUAAGUAGAGGUAGGCGGAAUGUAUGGUGUAGCGGUGAAAUGCUUAGAGAUCAUACAGAACACCGAUGGCGAAGGCAGCUUACCAGGCUACUUCUGACGUUGAGGCACGAAAGCGUGGGGAGCAAACAGGAUUAGAUACCCGAGUAGUC
rnacentral:rRNA from 1 species